GUUUAGCUCAGUUGGUUAGAGCGUCGGAUUGUGGUUCCGAAGGUCGUGGGUUCGACCCCCACA
rnacentral:tRNA from 2 species